rnacentral:rRNA from 1 species
AGUGAACGCUGGCGGUAGGCCUAACACAUGCAAGUCGAACGGCAGCACAGUAAGAGCUUGCUCUUACGGGUGGCGAGUGGCGGACGGGUGAGGAAUACAUCGGAAUCUACUUUUUCGUGGGGGAUAACGUAGGGAAACUUACGCUAAUACCGCAUACGACCUACGGGUGAAAGCAGGGGAUCUUCGGACCUUGCGCGAUUGAAUGAGCCGAUGUCGGAUUAGCUAGUUGGCGGGGUAAAGGCCCACCAAGGCGACGAUCCGUAGCUGGUCUGAGAGGAUGAUCAGCCACACUGGAACUGAGACACGGUCCAGACUACUACGGGAGGCAGCAGUGGGGAAUAUUGGACAAUGGGCGCAAGCCUGAUCCAGCCAUACCGCGUGGGUGAAGAAGGCCUUCGGGUUGUAAAGCCCUUUUGUUGGGAAAGAAAAGCAGCAGGUUAAUACCCCGCUGUUCUGACGGUACCCAAAGAAUAAGCACCGGCUAACUUCGUG